rnacentral:rRNA from 1 species
CACCUCUUGUAGGCUACGAUAAGUUUCAGCUCGAAAGGGUUGGAUUCAGAGGGUUAGCAGUUCACUUGCUUGGCCUCGACUUCGUAGUCUAUGUCUUACAUACACUCUGUCGAAGUAUAUGAAUGUGUAUUGUUGGUCUUUGACCGAUAAACUAUAUACAACUUUCAGCAACGGAUCUCUUGGCUCUCGCAUCGAUGAAGAACGCAGCGAAAUGCGAUAAGUAAUGUGAAUUGCAGAAUUCAGUGAAUCAUCGAAUCUUUGAACGCACCUUGCACUCCUUGGUAUUCCGAGGAGUAUGCCUGUUUGAGUGUCAUUAAAUUCUCAAAACCUAUUGUUCUUCUUGAAUGGUAGGCUUUGGAUGUGAGGGCUUUGCUGGCCUUUGUCAGGUUCCAGCUCCCUUCAAAUGCAUUAGUGGUUGCUGAUCCGCUUUCAAUUGGUGUGAUAGUUAUCUACGCCUUUGAAGUGGAAUCGCUUGCUUAUCCGCUUCUAACCGUCUUUUUGGACAACUCUUUGACCAUUUGACCUCAAAUCAGGUAGGACUACCCGCUGAACUUAAGCAUAUCAAUAAGCGGAGG